rnacentral:rRNA from 1 species
CAAUAGCGUAUAUUUAAGUUGUUGCAGUUAAAAAGCUCGUAGUUGGAUUUCGGAUGGGACUUGCCGGUCCGUCGUUUCGAUGUGCACUGGCCAGUCCUAUCUUGUUGUCGGGGACUAGCUCCUGGGCUUCACUGUCCGGGACUAGGAGCUGACGAGGUUACUUUGAGUAAAUUAGAGUGUUCAAAGCAAGCCUACGCUCUGAAUACAUUAGCAUGGAAUAACACGAUAGGACUCUGGCUUAUCUUGUUGGUCUGUGAGACCAGAGUAAUGAUUAAGAGGGACAGUCGGGGGCAUUCGUAUUUCAUUGUCAGAGGUGAAAUUCUUGGAUUUACGAAAGACGAACUUCUGCGAAAGCAUUUGUCAAGGAUGUUUNCAUUAA